CGCUCUAAUAGCGUCAACUGGCUUCCUCCUUUGCUCAGGUAAAAAUUACCAUACCCACUAGAGGGCUUUGUCACUUGAACAAAAACAUAUAUUGUUUUAGGGCACUUACUGAAACGACUAAUGCAGUCACUGUUCAGUACAUGUAUGAACAAAUAUUUAACACCGAAUCUUCAAAGGGAACUGACUAUACUGGAUCAGCAUUGUCAGUGACUGAAUCAGUAGCCUUUAGGAGUGGAGCUCCCCUCACUGGUGACUGAGAGCGCCGUCGUCAGCUCAGCUGUGAUACACAGUAUGUUACUUCCUCAUUAAAAGCUUCUAAAAAGAACGUUAAAGCCGCAGAAACAAUCGUAAUGCGAUGAGCUAUUACCCUUGUAAACAGUGCUUGCAUAGGCUGAGUUUUGUACUGAACUGAGCGUGCCAGCUGGGACUAGCAACAGACUGAAUGUCCUACUGAAGUGAAGACAAUCAGAAUCAGCACUGAACGUUGUGGCGAUGGCCUCACUGAUAAACACCCGCAGUAGGGUGUGUAUUCACGAAAGCCAAGCUGGCCCUGUCAGAUGGGGGUUGGAGCUGGCUUUGUCACUAAGAAACUAAAGGGCUCAGUAGAUUUAUUUCUGAUCAAUAAAACUGUUAUCUAACAUCAGUUUUAUUUUAUCUGAGCCAGAAGAGCCUGCAGCACACAGUAUGUUUAAAGAGAGAUGGGAUAGAUUUUGAACUACCUGAGCUAUAGCUGCUGCUUUGCUACAUGCCAGGCUGGACAGCCUUGGAAAUGCCUUUUAAAAAGUAGCUAAACAUGCUUACAAAAACAGGUUUGAGAUGACUUACACUUGAAUGUGGUAGGUGUAUGGUUACAUACAUACAAGAGAAUAAGUGUAGUCCAGUUGAAAGGUUUGGAGUUGAGUGUUUUGAUCAAGAGAUGUUUUCUAUGUUUUGUAUCCUUCUCAACAAUAUGU